UGGGGAAUUUUGGACAAUGGGCGAAAGCCUGAUCCAGCAAUGCCGCGUGUGUGAAGAAGGCCUUCGGGUUGUAAAGCACUUUUGUCCGGAAAGAAAUCCUUGGCUCUAAUACAGUCGGGGGAUGACGGUACCGGAAGAAUAAGCACCGGCUAACUACGUGCCAGCAGCCGCGGUAAUACGUAGGGUGCAAGCGUUAAUCGGAAUUACUGGGCGUAAAGCGUGCGCAGGCGGUUUGCUAAGACCGAUGUGAAAUCCCCGGGCUCAACCUGGGAACUGCAUUGGUGACUGGCAGGCUAGAGUGUGGCAGAGGGGGGUAGAAUUCCACGUGUAGCAGUGAAAUGCGUAGAGAUGUGGAGGAAUACCGAUGGCGAAGGCAGCCCCCUGGGCCAAUACUGACGCUCAUGCACGAAAAGCGUGGGGAGCAAAACAGGAUUAGAUACCCCUGGUAGUCCACGCCCUAAAACGAUGUCAACUAGUUGUUGGGGAUUCAUUUCCUUAGUAACGUAGCUAAACGCGUGAAGUUGACCGCCUGGGGGAGUACGGUCGCAAAGAUUAAAAACUUAAAAUG
rnacentral:rRNA from 1 species